GAGUAAUAACAUGUUCAAAUACUUAAUUCAUUGGCUCGAAUCUAGGUUGUGUCUUUAGAUUUCGAGAAAAUGUACAACUAAGGAAUAAUUUUUCACUUCUGACUUCUCAAACCCCAAAUCACGGCAUCGGUCGACUUCCUACAGUCUUCUUCCCAGCGGUCCCGGUCGACUCGGGAUGUUGCGUCUGGGUUUAGGAAUUCUGGUUAUGUCAUUUCCUCAUGAAGUUGAAAGUAAGUUUGCAGGCGAAUGCACUUACAAAAUGGAUGUUGAAACUGUGGCGCACAUUUCUCGGCAACAUUAGAAGUCUGGUAAAAGUAUUGAUUUGAAGGAAAGACGAGCAGAUUCUGGUAAGUCUAGAGGCAACAUACAAACUAUUAUAAAGUUAGGUCGUCAUCAGACAUUUAAUAGUCAAGAUUAGGUUUGAUCUAUGAUCACUGAUCAUCAUGUGUGUAGUGCGAGGGAGAACUUUCACUUUGAGAAUACACGAAUAAAAUAUUCUGAUCAAUUCUAAAUAAAUUAUAUUUAAUGACCAGGUGAAUGGUAACGUUACUGUUACAACAAAUAUACAUUUCUAAUAAGAUUUUAGGACGGUUAGCUGAAGCUGAAUAGUAAAAAAAUUGGAGGAUGGAUUUUAUCCAUCUUCUAAAACAGGGCUCUCCGAUCCUGUUCCUGGAGAGAUACCAUCCUGUAGGUUUUCAUUACUAUUCAAAACUAGCAGUCCUGAUUAAAAUAAUGAGUUGGUUUAUAAGAUAAAUCAUGCUAUUUACAACUGGGGUUGGAGAGAAACCCUACCGGAGGGUAGCGCUCCAGAAACAGGGUUGGAGAGAAACCCUACCGGAGGGUAGCGCUCCAGAAACAGGGUUGGAGAGACCUGUAAUGAUAGACUAUAUUCAAUAGACUACAUCUGUCGGUACAAACUUUGAUUGAAUAAAUUAUGACGUCAUUUACAUAGUUUGCUGCGCUCCCUCACCUAAAAAAAAUACAUCACUGCUUAUCAUGCCGACCGACCUGAUGGCCUCCGUUGAAAAUGUUGUAAAAAAUAUCAGGCCGAGGCUACAUUCUCUGUCCUGCUACUGGUAGGACUAUAACAUUAUGUGAACUGACCUGAACAGGUUUAGGCUGGUCAUCUAUGAUAUGUAGGUUAUAUACAGUACAUUCUCUGUCCUGCUACUGGUAGGACUAUAACAUUAUGUGAACUGACCUGAACAGGUUUAGACUGGUCAUCUAUGAUAUGUAGGUUAUAUACAGUACAUUCUCUGUCCUGCUACUGGUAGGACUAUAACAUUAUGUGAACUGAUCUGAACAGGUUUAGACUGGUCAUCUAUGAUAUGUAGGUUAUAUACAGUACAUUCUCUGUCCUGCUACUGGUAGGACUAUAACAUUAUGUGAACUGAUCUGAACAGGUUUAGACUGGUCAUCUAUGAUAUGUAGGCUAUAGCCGAGGUAUAGACCUUGAUCUGCAUAUCACUAACAAACUGCUAUUAUACAUUAUAACCUAGCCUACUUUACAUAAUAUAACAUCUACAUAUCACUAACAAACUGCUAUUAUACAUUAUAACCUAGUCUACUUUACAUAAUAUAACAUAUCACUAACAACCCACUACUAUACAUUAUAACCUAGUCUACUUUACAUAAUAUAACAUCUACAUAUCACUAACAACCCACUACUAUACAUUAUAACCUAGUCUACUUUACAUAAUAUAACAUAUCACUAACAACCCACUGGUUUAGGCUGGUCAUCUAUGAUAUGUAGGCUAUAGCUGAGGUAUAGAAAG
ensembl:lncRNA